rnacentral:rRNA from 1 species
GUAAAACGUUAAAAGGUAAGUUGACGGGGCCCGCACAAGCGGCGGAGCAUGCGGAUUAAUUCGAUGCAACGCGAAAAACCUUACCCACCUUUGACAUGGCAGGAAUCCCGAAGAGAUUUGGGAGUGCUCGAAAGAGAACCUGCACACAGGUGCUGCAUGGCUGUCGUCAGCUCGUGUCGUGAGAUGUUGGGUUAAGUCCCGCAACGAGCGCAACCCUUGCCAUUAGUUGCUACGAAAGGGCACUCUAAAUGGGACUGCCGGUGACAAACCGGAGGAAGGUGGGGAUGACGUCAAGUCCUCAUGGCCCUUAUAGGUGGGGCUACACACGUCAUACAAUGGCCGGUACAGAGGGUGGCCAACCCGCGAGGGGGAGCCAAUCCCACAAAGCCGGUCGUAGUCCGGAUCGCAGUCUGCAACUCGACUGCGUGAAGUCGGAAUCGCUAGUAAUCGCGGAUCAGCAUGUCGCGGUGAAUACGUUCCCGGGUCUU